UGCCCCUCGGACCCUCGUACUUGCAGCGUUAAAUGUGGUUAGAUAGAAAGAUGGAUGUAUACACGUACAAUGCACAUGUAGGCCUACAUGGCGUGAGAGUGAGCGUGUGGUAGUGGUGAAUGGUGAUUGGAUUUGGGGGUGGCAGUAACUUAAUUGGGAGCUCAUGUGACUUGCGUUCCACGUAUCAGUUAUGAAUGGCUGGGCUGCUUGCAUUUGCACGAUCCUUGUUCACAUCAGAUUUACUGCUGCUCCGCAAGGACAUGAAGUGGAGUACUGUGUCGUGCGUGCAACCACUGCUAGCUUCUCAUCAGAUUUCGUGUGACCAUUGAUCGAGUACACAGGGAGUACUACUCACCGAAUCUAGCUGUCAUCUCACUUAAACCAGCAGAGUUAACUUGAGGAGGUAAAAGUUACAAGUUACUCUGGGAGAAUAGAUAAAAGUGCAUAUGCACACUAGCUAUUUUGGAGGGUCUAGAUUAUAGUAUAGCAUUUUGAAUUUGAAAACUAAUCAACUAACUACGACUAGAUACACUUAUGCGCAUUGUCUUUUUUUAUAAUCAAGAUUGUCACACAAGCAUGUACAUGUAAGCAGGGAUCGGAGGUUUGGAGCCAUGGGGUUAACAUUGUGGACUAGAUACACUUAUGAACAUUGUUACACAUUUGUAUGAACAUGUACUACUAUUGCAGCACUCCACUAUGUAAUCUAUAUGUAAGCAGGGAUCGGAGGUUGGAGCCGUGGGGUCAGCAGCACUAAGAGCAUGCGUGUGGUGAGGGAUAAAGCUCAACCAGAAGGAAAGACCAACGGCAAGCUCAAUUGCUCCUCGGAGAGCAGAAAAGUCUCUCCGGCGAGCGAAAGGAGGAAGGGGAAGGAAGUGCCGGGGCCCCUCAUGCGCUGCCGGGGUGGGCUGUCGGUGAACUGUGGCCGAGCGAGUGGCAACAACAUAGCCACCCCCUCCCUCCUCGCUGCCAGUACGUAAACGCUGGAUAUAUGGAUGGUCGAAGCUUGAAUUGCCUCUGAACUGAGAAGAGGAGUGGAGUAGGCUGCCGCUCCUACUCCACAAUAAAGCAGGAAUCUGUGUGAAUGCACGAUACAAGCCCAUGAUGGAUCGGACGUGGUUAACUCCGCUAGUUCCAAAGCUGCGUCAAUGGCGAGUGGAGUGGAGUAGUGGUACGAAGUUGCAACCAGCGAGAGGUUGGGCGGGCAAUAACUGCAUCCUGGUUGCGAUCCAUCCAUCCAUCAGCUCACCAUGGAGUACUCAAUCACUCACUCGGUCAGUCACUCAAGAAGCCAAUCAUCCCCAUGCAAUCCAUGGCGCCUGCAUCGACCCGGCAAGCUCCGUAGGAAAAGGUGAAAGAGUUAAUGGCGCUCGCCAGCCGAAUUCAAUGCGCGCGAGCGAGCUGCCGGGCACGCACUUUUACGGCUGGGCUCUGGCUCCGGCUCCACUGAGAUACGUGUGUCAGUGAGUUCGUUCUUGCAGGAGAGGACGGAAGCUUCUGUGGGAGCUCCGAUUGAGCUCGGUGGAUCCUGCCGCUCGUGGCGUCGUACGCACUACAGCGCGGUCACACGCGCGCGCGCGGUCCUUUCUGCUCCGUGGAAAGUGCAUCGUUAAGGUGGUUGUUGCCUUGUGGUGACCAGCAUGCACUGUCAGGACGUGUCUCGGUGUGUGAAAGACGGUUAAAAAAGGUGAGCGGAGCAGGUGUCGGUUACACCGUCUUCGUGGUGGUACGAUGCCUGCAGGGGUGAAGCUCCCAGCAGGGCAAGGCAGGGGGCUGCCCUACUUUGAUUUUGGCAAAAAAUAUUUGGUUGCAUGUGUUUUUUCUGAAUAAUUUGAGUGGUUGUCUGUUCAAAACAGACUUUCUACGAGAAAGUUAUGUUUAUUUUA